CCACUGGCAAGUCCCGGCUCCACCUAGGACUGCAGCGAGCGCCUUUUCAAGCCAGCGGCCCUCUGAACGGCUGAGCAACGAAAGGGCGGCGGGGGCGGCGGCGCCUAACCGCUUCGCCUACUCGAGCCGGACGCGAGCGGCAUGGGGCAGCUCCUCCUCCUUCACUGGGGAACAGAAGAUCCGCCGCCCUGGUCCCUGAUUUUUCCCGUGCUCGUGGUGGGUGGGCGAGCAACAGUCGGUAGAUUCUCCUCCAAUUCGCGUUGUGUGGUUGCUUGCUAAUGCUUUGUCGCUCAGAUUUUUUUUUCUCACAGCUCCACUAAUCGCUGGAAUCUGUGGAUCACGCAUGUAUGAGUCUCGUAUACACUGCUGCGCUAGUUCGCUUCUAAUUGCCAUCUGGAACACUGGGAUUUUCUUUUGCUGAAUUCGUGGAACGCUUCAGAUGCAUAGCGGUACCACAUUUCAGGUGUUAGUCAAAUGAGCUGAGAGGUUCAUAAUGUCAAUGUCACAUUAUGUUUUUCUCUAUAUCGGUGGAGUCGGGAGAUGGACUCUUUUUGUCAAUGAUGAGAAUAUUGCUUUCAGAACAUUUAGUCUGAAGAUCUUAGCAGACAACGUACACAUCUACUGCCUCCGACCCACAAUAUAAGAUGUUAUUACAACCAAUUGUAGUAACAUCUUGUAUUAUCGGAUGGAGGGAGUAUUUGAGAAUUGAGAUAUAUACAUCAAUAUCGCUGCGAAAACUGGCUUUUGGUGCCAAAGUUGAAUAUGCGUUCACUAAUUUGUGCUUGGUGACCACCUUUCCUUCCUUGCCUGUUGAUAUGCAGAGUUAGGGCCUCUUUGAUUCACAUGAUUCUCAGAAUGCAGGAAUAGGAAAAACGUAGGAAUAGAGUGUCAUGUCCUUUUAUACCCUACAGGAUUUGGAAGCGUGUUUGAUAACACAGAAAAAACAAAGGAAUUCUACAAAGAGGUUUGAGUGGAUCUGUGGAACUAUCCGAAGAAAUUAAUGAAGAAGUGGAAGGGUGCUCUGUGCUCGGCCGUGCCACAUUAAGCAACUGGUGCUUGGACUACCCUUUAGAGCUUGGCUGCUCAGUUGAUUUGUUUUAUUAUCCUUCUGCACAUUCAUUUGCAUGUCAUGAAAAAUUCUUGAAAUGCACUCAUUUUUUUUAAUCAAUAUAGUUGGCCAAUUUUGUAAAAUAGUUGCAUGUUCAGUUGUUAUGCAGCUUACAUAUGGGACAUUUGUUAUUUUGUGUUUUUACAUAUUCAUACUUCUAUUCCUGUAGUGAAGAUAACUGAUAGAUACCAGUUAUGUUAUUUUCUGCUUGAGGCAUAACUUCAGCUUUCCUUCCCACAUUUUUUUGACUCACUUUAGAGUAUUCAAAUUGACCAGUUUAAACCUUUAUCAUAUCUUUAGUAUAAACUGUCCCAUGCAAGAAAUGCCUCCCCACUAAUCUCUUUUCCCCCGACCAGAAAGAAGAAGCACAAGCUCACACAUACCACCACCAUUUAUAGAUACAAACUGCUAAACACUUUCUAAAUAAUCAUUUGGAAAAAAGCUUUAAGAGGAUUUACAUAGAUAAUACCUUAAGUGUAGGAACCAUUCCACCGUUGGGCCUGCAAUUUUGCACUUUCUAAAUUAUCAUUUGGAAAGAAGCUUUAAGAGGAUUCGCAUAGAUAAUACCUUAAGUGUAUGAACCGUCCCACCGUUGGGCCUGCAAAUAGCAGUGUGCCAUAAAAGAGCAAGAUCAAAGCAGGGUUUAUACUGAAUGGCAGGGCAAUUCUCCUUUGGCAGGGACGGCGAUACCAUAGUCCCUUGUCUAGGACCUGCUACAUUGGCAUCCAUGCCAGAGGAGAACUGCACUGUGAUUCUCACCCUGAACACUCCAUACUCAACAUUGGUCUAGUUGUUUGUGGGAGAAAGACCAUUUGUCUGUUUUUAGUAGCAAAUUGCUCUUCAUGUUACACUUUCAUGCACCAUGUGCUUCUUGCCAUUCACUGCAUGUUACCGUGGCAAAUAUAUAUAGGGCAGAAAUGAGCAAGAAAAUCUGGAUAUGCUGCUGGAUAUGCUUCCAGAUCAGGACAAUGCUUCCGAGAGCUUGCUAUGAACAAAAACAAACUGGGUACACUGUACAAAGCUUGAGCUUGAGAAAGUGGUUAAUACAUACUACUACCGCAACCAGAAACGAUUUUGCACAACUACAAACCAGAGGCAUAAUGUCGAAACGAAGAUUAUUGUUUUGCUAUAUCGAAGAGCAUGCCUGUGCACACUGUGCAAGUCGAGACAUCAAGGAUGCGCAUGGCUGAAUUAUUAAACGAAAGAAAGAAAAGGCAGAGCGAUCAACUAAACGCAACAACAAACAUCAACAUCAACAUCAACCACCGCCAUUGACCACACCCAAACUACAAGAGAGGUUCUCCAAAAACAGAUGCCACCACUGCCACUUUGCUAGUGAUGUUUGUUCAAAAAUGACCUUGAAUUAGCUAGCUUGAAUGGCUCACAAGUUACAAAAUUCAUUUUUUCGAAAAGGAACUUACAUAAUUUAUGGAGAAGACAUUUGCAGUAUCUUCUUUUAUUGAUUCAUUCAGCUACUUCCUUAACCACACAUAAACACAAUCAAAGGUCAAGCAGAUUUUGUUCUUUUUUCAUGGAUGGAGGACCAUUUAUAUUA